rnacentral:rRNA from 1 species
GACGAACGCUGGCGGCGUGCCUAAUACAUGCAAGUCGAGCGAAGUUUUUCUGGUGCUUGCACUAGAAAAACUUAGCGGCGAACGGGUGAGUAACACGUAAAGAACCUGCCUCAUAGACUGGGACAACUAUUGGAAACGAUAGCUAAUACCGGAUAACAGUAUUUCUCGCAUGAGAGAUAUUUAAAAGUUGGUUAUGCUAACACUAUGAGAUGGCUUUGCGGUGCAUUAGCUAGUUGGUGGGGUAAAGGCCCACCAAGGCGACGAUGCAUAGCCGACCUGAGAGGGUGAUCGGCCACAGUGGGACUGAGACACGGCCCAGACUCCUACGGGAGGCAGCAGUAGGGAAUCUUCCGCAAUGGGGGAAAGCCUGACGGAGCAACGCCGCGUGAGUGAAGAAGGAUUUCGGUUCUUAAAGCUCUGUUGUUAGGGAAGAAUGGAUAUGUAGUAACUAUACAUGUAAGAGACGGUACCUAACCAGAAAGCCACGGCUAACUACGUG